UCAGGCCUAACACAUGCAAGUCGAGCGAUGAAGCACCUUCGGGUGUGGAUUAGCGGCGAACGGGUGAGGAACACGUGAGGAAUCUGCCUUCCACUCUGGGAUAACUCCGGGAAACCGGGGCUAAUACCGGAUACUUUCAACUGGCGGCAUCGCCGGUUGAAGAAAGUUUUUCGGUGGAAGAUGACCUCGCGGCCUAUCAGCUUGUUGGUGAGGUAAUGGCUCACCAAGGCGACGACGGGUAGCCGGCCUGAGAGGGCGACCGGCCACACUGGGACUGAGACACGGCCCAGACUCCUACGGGAGGCAGCAGUGGGGAAUAUUGGGCAGAGGAGGAAACUCUGACCCAGCGACGCCGCGUGAGGGAUGAAGGCCUUCGGGUUGUAAACCUCUUUCAGCAGGGAAAAGCGAAAGGAA
rnacentral:rRNA from 1 species